rnacentral:rRNA from 1 species
GACGAACCACACAAACGUUAUUCGGAAUUACUGGGCUUAGAGGGUGCGUAGGCGGCGCGGAAAGUUGGGUGUGAAAUCCCUCGGCUCAACCGAGGAACUGCGCCCAAAACUACCGUGCUCGAGGGAGAUAGAGGUGAGCGGAACUUAGGGUGUAGCGGUGAAAUGCGUUGAUAUGCUAUGGAACACCCGUGGCGAAAGCGGCUCACUGGGUCUCUUCUGACGCUGAGGCACGAAAGCGAGGGUAGCGAACGGG